GCCUGGGUGGCGCAGUCGUUGAGCGUCUGCCUUUGGCUCAGGGCGUGAUCCCAUCGUCGUGGGAUCGAGCCCCACUUCAGGCU
rnacentral:tRNA from 1 species